UACGUAGGGGGCGAGCGUUGUCCGGAUUUAUUGGGCGUAAAGAGCUCGUAGGCGGUUUCGUAAGUCGGAUGUGAAAACUCCAGGCUCAACUUGGAGACGCCAUUCGAUACUGCGAUGACUUGAGUACUGCAGGGGAGACUGGAAUUCCUGGUGUAGCGGUGAAAUGCGCAGAUAUCAGGAGGAACACCGGUGGCGAAGGCGGGUCUCUGGGCAGUAACUGACGCUGAGGAGCGAAAGCGUGGGUAGCGAACAGG
rnacentral:rRNA from 1 species